GAUAAACGCUAGCGGCGUGCCUUAUGCAUGCAAGUCGAACGGGGUGCCGCAAGGCACCAAGUGGCAAACGGGUGAGUAAUACGUAAGUAACCUGCCCCUAAGUGGGGGAUACCCCUGGGAAACUAGGGCUAAUACCGCAUGUGGUCCUUCCUCACAAGAGGAGAGACUAAAGCCGUAAGGCGCUAAGGGAGGGGCUUGCGUCCGAUUAGCUAGUUGGUAGGGUAAUAGCCUACCAAGGCAGAGAUCGGUAGCUGGUCUGAGAGGACGACCAGCCACACUGGGACUGAGACACGGCCCAGACUCCUACGGGAGGCAG
rnacentral:rRNA from 1 species